GAUGAACGCUAGCGGCAGGCCUAAUACAUGCAAGCUGAACGGCAAGUUGAAUAGCAAUAUUUGACCUAGAGUAGCGUAAGGGUGCGUAACACGUAUGCAAUCUGCCCGCAACAGGAGGAUAGCUUGAUGAAAGUUGAGAUAAGACUCCAUAAGAUCACAGGAGGGCAUCUGAUAGUGAUUAAACUACAAGGGGUUGCGGAUGAGCAUGCGCAUGAUUAGUUAGUUGGCGGGUAACGCCCACAAGACAAUGAUCAUUAGGGGAACUGAGAGGUUCGGU
rnacentral:rRNA from 1 species